rnacentral:lncRNA from 1 species
CUUGAAUGGAAGGUAAUCAAAGAGCUUUAUGAUGUUGAUUUCUUUACAAACAUUAUGGGGAGGGGACUUCAUUUUGAUUGGCGACACAUUCCUAAUUUACUGCUCAUUUUGUAGUUGUACAAAAAAAUGCCUGUGCGUGCAAGUUUUAUAUGAAAAUGAUGCACCGGCGGUCUUUUGGAAGAAUGGGAAAAUCACAUGGUUGUCGGAUUGCAAGCACAUAGUGCAUUGCUUAUGUGGCGUACAGUUCACCAAGAACCAGAAGGCGCUCUUUGAACACCAUGGGUAUGGCUACAUUCGUGGCUGGAGGAAAUUUGCGGCCAGUUCAGUUCAGCCUUUUUUACACCUACCGGUGUAUUCAUAAUAAUUAUGAUAUAUGCAUACCACAUUAUUAGUCUUCACCUUUUUUUUACAUACUACUCCCAUUUGAAUACACUUUUAGAAAAUGUAAACAUACCUAUGGAAGACACAUUCUUGCCUGUACGCUUCUUUUUGAAGUAUUUAAAAAACUCAGUUUACAGAGUAUGGGUUGGUUACUACGUUGGAGUAACUAUGGACAUCUCAAAUUUAGCGCCUAGGAUUCCUAUUUUGACUGGUGUGAGUAUCUCUUGGUCAGUCCUCAGAUUACAAAUUUGAAAACAACUCUCCUGAAAACACUGGCAAAACUCACAUGUGGUCUAUAAAGAAAUAUUUGAUGAUCUUGCUUAGUAACUUGCUAGCGGGCAGAAAAUAUAUCAUGUUAGUACAUGCAUCCGCUUUCACAGACCAUCUAACAUGACUUCUUAUUUUAUUUUUACAGGAUGCUAAGGGCUGCAAGAAAUAAAAUAGUAUGGUGCAUUUUGCCUACAGGUAAGGAAACAUGUACCUUAUUUCUGCAAAGAUGUGCUCUAUUUUUUCAUUCCAUGAGUAUUUGCAUUCCCUAUAGAAGCUGACUGGUUACAUUUAUGUUUAGUACACCAUCAUAAUCUCCCAAAUACUGCACUGAUUUAUACUUUCCUGCCCAUGUUUAAAAUAGCGUGUUUUAGUUCUGAUUACAGCCAUAUAGGUAUUCAUGUAUAAGAUUGUUUGCUUUCAGUUCUGGUUAAAUCAUCUUGGAUGAUCAGUCAAAUUUCCAGUGAUGAUACUCUAGCGGAUCAGGCUUCUAAACCACUAUCACUUUCCUGACAGAAGUUGUGCAUGUAGUACAUGUUUUCAGUUCAGCAAGCUCUUUUUUAGUUAGAGAUCAAUUUUGAAGACCAACAUGUCAUAUGAAUGCUCCCAGCUUAGCAAAAGCCUUGAUCUUUCCAAUUUUGUAAGUUGAGGGAAUACUUUGCUACUUCAAAAUCUCCAGAUAAAAGUUGAAGAAUUCAUACGAUAGUCGAUUGGAAACAUAUAUCUAGCAGUUCAUUUUUUUCAUGCGCACAAUGGGAUAAACUGAUGUAACACAAGCCUUCACAAUUUAGUGCUGCUGUUAUUAGAAUCGGGAGACUUGCUUUGUUACCGUAGUUAGAGUUGCCGAUUGCUUACUAUAGUAAUAGCCAGGAAGGUUUGUAGUCAACUUAUCUGCAGUUGUAAUUAGUCGACUUAUGCUCCUUAAAUUGUUGUUCUUUGGUGACCAGUGAAUGGGCAAUUGACUCUCUUGCGUAUAUGGCUGAUCUAAUUGUUAGGAAAAUCUUCAGCACAUUGUAAUAUGAAAGGUUUUACCCCGCAAAAAAAUAAAAAUACGAAAGGUUUUGAUUUUUUUUUCUUGGGACUUCUUCGUACACUUUCUACUAUUGUAUUCACUAUAGUUUUCCUGUAUUGAACUGAUUUUCCGCUUGCAUUGUAGAUAUCAAGUCUUAGAGAAGGAAGUUUUGUAUGGCAGUCGAUUCUCUUCUCCGAUUCAGAUUCACAGUUAAAUACCCCAUUCUUCUUUUUUUCAGCCCUUGACAUUUUCUCCUACUUGCUAAUGCAGGAUGGAAAACUGCCUGUUACAUGUAGUCUUCAGAACCUGUGCUGAAAUGGCGCUUCUUUGUUUGGAAAGUGUCCGAUUUUGCAAAACUUUUGGCUGUCUCGAAUAGUUUUCAAGUUGUUUCAGUGACAUCAGUUCCUGCUAAAAGGUUUUAAAUGUGAACCUAAAUACCUGUUACCGUAAGUGACCAAACUUGUGGUGGUGUGCAAUGUUCACCUAACUUAAAACGGCUUGCGCCUGUCUUUCUUCGGCAACACAAAAGCUAGAUUAAUUUACCAUCCAU